rnacentral:rRNA from 1 species
GUGCAGCAGGCCAGAAAACUUCACACUGUGCGAAAGCACGAUGAGGGAAUCCCAAGUGCUUGCACGUAAGUGUAAGCUGUUUCUCUGUUUAAAACGCAGAGAGAGUAAGGGCUGGGUAAGACGGGGUGCCAGCCGCCGCGGUAAUACCUGCAGCUCAAGUGGUGACCGUUAUCAUUGGGGCCUAAAAACGUCCGUAGCCGGUUUAAAUAAAUGCCUGGGUAAAUCGUGUAGCUUAACUAUAC